AGAGUUUGAUCAUGGCUCAGAACGAACGUUGGCGGCGUGGAUUAGGCAUGCAAGUCGAACGAAUCCCCAGCAAUGGGGGGAAGUGGCGAAAGGGGCAGUAAGGCGUAGGUAACCUGCCCCCAGGUCCGGAAUAGCCGUCCUAACGGACGGGUAAUACCGGGAGACCCGCCGAGAGGACAUCCUCUUGUCGGCAAAGGUUUACCGCCUGGGGAGGGGCUUACGUGAUAUUAGCUAGUUGGUGGGGUAACGGCCCACCAAGGCCAAGAUGUCUAGCAGGUGUGAGAGCACGACCUGCGCCACUGGCACUGGGACACUGGCCAGACUCCUACGGGAGGCUGCAGUCGAGGAUCUUCGGCAAUGGGCGCAAGCCUGACCGAGCGACGCCGCGUGUGCGAUGAAGGCCUUCGGGUUGUAAAGCACUGUCGAGGGGAAGAAAGGGCAACUUGAUCGACCCCUGGAGGAAGCACGGGCUAAGUUCGUGCCAGCAGCCGCGGUAAUAC
rnacentral:rRNA from 1 species